GAGUUUGAUCCUGGCUCAGGAUGAACGCUGGCGGCGUGCCUAAUACAUGCAAGUCGAGCGAACGGACGAGAGGCUUGCUUCUCUGAUGUUAGCGGCGGACGGGUGAGUAACACGUGGAUAACCUACCUAUAAGACUGGGAUAACUUCGGGAAACCGGAGCUAAUACCGGAUAAUAUUUUGAACCGCAUGGUUCAAAAGUGAAAGACGGUCUUGCUGUCACUUAUAGAUGGAUCCGCGCUGCAUUAGCUAGUUGGUAAGGUAACGGCUUACCAAGGCAACGAUGCAUAGCCGACCUGAGAGGGUGAUCGGCCACACUGGAACUGAGACACGGUCCAGACUCCUACGGGAGGCAGCAGUAGGGAAUCUUCCGCAAUGGGCGAAAGCCUGACGGAGCAACGCCGCGUGAGUGAUGAAGGUCUUCGGAUCGUAAAACUCUGUUAUUAGGGAAGAACAUAUGUGUAAGUAACUGUGCACAUCUUGACGGUACCUAAUCAGAAAGCCACGGCUGACUACG
rnacentral:rRNA from 1 species